UACAGAGACUGCAAGCGUUAUUCGGAUUCACUGGGCGUAAAGGGUGCGCAGGCGGCCGUGUGUGUGAGGCGUGAAAGCCCGGGGCUUAACCCCGGAAUUGCACCUCAAACUACAUGGCUAGAGCAUUGGAGAGGGUAGCAGAAUUCAUGGUGUAGCAGUGAAAUGCGUAGAUAUCAUGAGGAAUACCAGAGGCGAAGGCGGCUACCUGGACAAUUGCUGACGCUCAGGCACGAAAGCGUGGGGAGCAAACGGG
rnacentral:rRNA from 1 species